AUGAGGAUCACCAAACAAUGCAACCUGCCACUUUCCUUGCGCAAGCAUUAUCGCUCAAAUGUGUUAUGUGACGUAGUUGAUAUGGACGCUAGCCAUGUUCUUCUUGGGAGACCUUGGCAAUUUGAUGUGGAUACUACACACAAGAGCAAGGAAAAUUCUUACUCUUUCAUUUUGAACAAGAGAAAGAUCAUUAUCUUGCCAAAUAAAACUGAAGGUAAUACCUCUAAGGAGGAGGGGGAAAAUAUGUUAACUAUUUCCAAUACCUCUCAUGAGUUUAUGGAAGACUUGAAGGAGGCAGAUUUAUGUGCUGCACUUGUUGUAAAAGGAGAAGAGCACCUGACUGUUGAAAUUCCAGCAAAGGUACAUGGUUUAUUGGCAGAAUUUCAUAACAUACUUGGAGAGCCACAAGGCUUGCCACCGAUGAGAGGAAUUCAACAUAGAAUUGACUUAAUUCUGGGAGCAAGUCUUCCUAAUCUUCCACACUAUCGAAUGAGCCCAAAGGAGCAUGAUAUAUUGAAGGAGAAAGUGGAGGAAUUGCUGCAAAAGGGGCACAUUCGAGAAAGUAUUAGCCCAUGUGUUGUACCAGCCCUACUCGCGCCAAAGAAAGAUGGAUCUUGGUGCAUGUGUAUGGAUAGUAGAGCCAUUAACAAGAUCACCGUAAGGUAUAGAUUCCCGAUUCCCCGUCUGGAUGAUAUGUUGAUCAGCUUAGUGGAGCAAGAGUGUUCACAAAGCUAG
rnacentral:rRNA from 1 species